ensembl:miRNA mdo-mir-7329 mdo-mir-7329
GGUGAGCAUUCUCAUUUGGCCCUUCUCGUUCCCUCAAGGCGAAGGCCAAUGGCAAUGCUUCCUCA